AUAAACAUGAUGACAAGUAUAUCGCCCCAGUCUGAUAAACUAUGAUUGAUUGAUUUUACUCUGAUUAA